ACAGGCGAUGGGGUUCGCCUUAAACGCAAAAUGCUGAUGACUCCUGCUUU
rnacentral:ncRNA from 1 species